GGUGAAGGCUUUACAGAGGCUUCUUUUGUUUCUUCAGAUCGAUUUGGCUAUAAAUAUCCUCAAUUCUCAUUCAACCACACUUCUCCCAAUUGGGUCUCUGAUUCUCUCCCAAGUUUGUGUGCGACACAGGAGGUUACAUCACAUACUGAGAUUCAGAGGAAGCCAGGAAUGCCUCUCUUGCAGUUGGGAUGUGCCCACAAAGCCAAUGGGAGAAAGUUACCAAGGGUUCUAGGGCUAGAUCAAUGUCUCCUUUUGACCACAAGUUCCUAGACAUAAGGACUGCUGGUGCAACACUGGAAAAUUUUAAGGUGUCCACUGAUGAAGAAAUUGACGCUCUAAUGCAUGAACUUGAUGAGGAAGAGAUGCAAAUGGAUGAAUUAGCAAAGAGGACUAUAGAGAAGUUGAAAGAAUCCACUCUUUGAGAUGUUGAUGCUGCUAAACCUGUUGAAAAUGACUCAUGACAAACUGCAGCGGUUAAACGUGAUGAAAAUAUUUAUACAUAUAUAGAAUAGUUGGUUGGUUGUCUCAUACAACUAUUGGUAGAUAGGGAUAAUGAGUAAUCGCUUUAGUGUGAUGGUUUUAGAUGAUCAUAUGUGAGGGAAUUUGAUAAAGGGAUAUUUGAAGGAAGGUGAUCAUGAAAAGGCUACAUCUUCUCAUUUGACACUGAGCAGUAGAAAACAAAAGACUUUGACUUGAUAUUCAUGCUAUGAAUAAU